GUACCCUUAGUUCAGUUGGUCUAGAACGCAAAACUGUUAAUUUUGAUGUCGCAGGUUCGAAUCCUGCAGGGUGCG
rnacentral:tRNA from 1 species